GACGAACGCUGGCGGCGUGCUUAACACAUGCAAGUCGAACGCUGAAGCUCAGCUUGCUGGGUGGAUGAGUGGCGAACGGGUGAGUAACACGUGAGUAACCUGCCCUCUUCUUUGGGAUAACGCCCGGAAACGGGUGCUAAUACUGGAUAUUCACUGAUUCUCGCAUGGGGGUUGGUGGAAGGGUUUUUUCUGGUGGGGGAUGGGCUCGCGGCCUAUCAGCUUGUUGGUGGGGUGAUGGCCUACCAAGGCUUUGACGGGUAGCCGGCCUGAGAGGGUGACCGGUCACAUUGGGACUGAGAUACGGCCCAGACUCCUACGGGAGGCAGCAGUGGGGAAUAUUGCACAAUGGGCGAAAGCCUGAUGCAGCGACGCCGCGUGAGGGAUGGAGGCCUUCGGGUUGUAAACCUCUUUCGCUCAUGGUCAAGCCGCAGCUUUGGGUUGUGGUGAGGGUAGUGGGUAAAGAAGCGCCGGCUAACUACGUG
rnacentral:rRNA from 1 species